rnacentral:rRNA from 1 species
GACGAACGCUGGCGGCGUGCCUAAUACAUGCAAGUCGAGCGGAAGUUGGAGAGCUUGCUCUUCAACUUUAGCGGCGGACGGGUGAGUAACACGUGGGCAACCUGCCCUGCAGAUCGGGAUAACUCCGGGAAACCGGUGCUAAUACCGAAUAGUUUUCGCCACCUCCUGGUGGCGUACGGAACGACGGUUUCGGCUGUCACUGCAGGAUGGGCCCGCGGCGCAUUAGCUAGUUGGUGGGGUAACGGCCCACCAAGGCAACGAUGCGUAGCCGACCUGAGAGGGUGAUCGGCCACACUGGGACUGAGACACGGCCCAGACUCCUACGGGAGGCAGCAGUAGGGAAUCUUCCGCAAUGGACGAAAGUCUGACGGAGCAACGCCGCGUGAGUGACGAAGGUUUUCGGAUCGUAAAACUCUGUUGUGAGGGAAGAACAAGUACCAACUAACUACUGGUACCUUGACGGUACCUCACCAGAAAGCCACGGCUAACUACGUGCCAGCAGCCGCAGUAACAC